rnacentral:rRNA from 1 species
UACGAAGGGGGCUAGCGUUGCUCGGAAUUACUGGGCGUAAAGCGCACGUAGGCGGCUUUUUAAGUCGGAGGUGAAAUCCUGGAGCUCAACUCCAGAACUGCCUUCGAUACUGAAGAGCUCGAGUCCGGGAGAGGUGAGUGGAACUGCGAGUGUAGAGGUGAAAUUCGUAGAUAUUCGCAAGAACACCAGUGGCGAAGGCGGCUCACUGGCCCGGUACUGACGCUGAGGUGCGAAAGCGUGGGGAGCAAACAGG